UUAAUUUAAAUGCAAAUCUGCAUUUUAUUCUAUGAAAUUGAGACAAAUGAUACAUACUUGAAACCUGACAGAGUAGCAAUUACAAACAUUAAUAUAGCUUUAGAUUAUGACUUAAACCAAAAGAGAGGAUGGAAUAGAAACACUGUGUACCAGAGCUUGUGAAACACUACAGGGAAAAAAGCAACUCUUGCCCUAGUAAUGUAUGCCUAAAACACAAGUUAGCAAUAAUUCUGCUGCAAAAGGCUAGAUCUGCCUUGUGCAGAUGUGUACCUUCAGGGAAGCCUCCAGCCACAAAUGUAUACGUACAAUGCAAGGAAGCAGCCUGCCAGCAAAGGGGUGCUGAGGGGGGUCUCAAAAUAUGUGGGAGGGGACUUUGCACUGCCCCAGCCUAAUGGGAUGUGGCACCAUCCAGGAGAGUCCUGCAACAAGAGGCCAAACAGCCAAUGACCUAGGACAGAACUGCCUAGCUGGCAUAAAGAUAUAUUUAUGCUAGGUCUGAUUUAGAUUGUGCUCUGCACAAUCAGAUCGCUUUGAAGGUUUGCCUUGUGCAAUCAUUUCCUUUGUCAGGAAUCAGAAAAAGACUGUGAAAAGACUGUGAACAAAUUGUUUAGGCAUUGAAAUUUAACCCUGUGGAAUCCUUACAGUGUAGCACAGUGUGACACAGCAGGAGCACAUUUGUCAGGGGACUGAAGCCUCUUUGCUCUCUCCGCACAAAACAUAUACAUUAGCAUUGUGUGGUGUGGGUGUGCUCCCAAGCACAUGAUGCAGCUAUGGGUAUGCAGCUCCAUGCCUACCCUGCCUCCCAUCUGCACUGCAACCGCGUUCAGCCCUUUGCACCAUUUCUUUUCCAUUAGGGAAAAUAAAGGCUUCAGAUCCUUCAAGACUGUCUGGAAGCCCUUCCACUACAUUUUCUUUCAGAAAUUGUACAAGACUUGACUUUUAAAUAACCAUAAUGCAUGUAAGAAAAUUACUGAGUAUUACAACAAUCUUUUUAAUAGACCUAAUGUUUUUCCACUAGUGUCCUAACAUUAAUAAUGUCAGAAUAUAAACACCAAAAAUGAAAAGGCAUUUGGUAGAA
rnacentral:lncRNA from 1 species